UACGGAGGGUGCAAGCGUUAAUCGGAAUCACUGGGCGUAAAGGGUGCGUAGGCGGCCGAGUGUGUCUGGCGUUAAAAUCCACGGCUCAACUGUGGGUAUGCGCUGGAAACUGCUUGGCUUGAGUGCAGCAGAGGCAGACGGAACUGCUGGUGUAGAGGUGAAAUUCGUAGAUAUCAGCAGGAACGCCGGUGGAGAAGUCGGUCUGCUGGGCUGUAACUGACGCUGAGGCACGAAAGCUAGGGGAGCAAACCGG
rnacentral:rRNA from 1 species